rnacentral:misc_RNA from 1 species
UCACCCCUCAAGCCCCGUGCUUGGUGUUGGACGGCCGGUUGAGCGAUCGACCCCUCCGAAAGACAAUGACGGCGGCCUGUGGUUCCCCCGGUACACUGAGCUUUUCAUCGAGCACGUAUCGGACAAGGGGCGCCCGGGACCCGGUCUUCUCCUCUCAGCAGGAAACUUCUCAA